rnacentral:rRNA from 1 species
UACGUAGGGGGCAAGCGUUGUCCGGAUUUAUUGGGCGUAAAGCGCUCGCAGGUGGUUCGAUGCGUCGUGCGUGAAAGACCCCGGCUCAACUGGGGAGGGUCGUGCGAUACGGUCGGACUGGAGGCCAGUAGGGGGAUGCGGAAUUCCUGGUGUAGCGGGUGAAAUGCGCAGAUAUCAGGAAGAACACCAAUGGCGAAGGCAGCUCUCUGGGGACGGUACUGACGCUGAGACGCGAAAGCUGGGGAGCGA